GUAGGGAAUAUUGUGCAAUGGGGGAAACCCUGACACAGCGACGCCGCGUGGAGGAUGAAGGCCUUCGGGUUGUAAACUCCUGUCAGAGGGGACGAACUUGUCGUUUAACAAACGGCAUUGACUUAACCUUCAGAGGAAGCAACCGCUAACUCCGUGCCAGCAGCGGCGGUAAUACGGAGGUUGCAAACGUUGUUCGGAUUUACUGGGCGUAAAGAGUUCGUAGGCGGUCGGGAUUAAUUAGACGUGAAAGCCCCUGGCUUACCCAGGGAAUUGCAUCUAAUAUUGCCCGACUGGAGUGCGAAAGAGGAAAGCAGAAUUGUAGGUGGAGCGGUGAAAUGCGUAGAUAUCUACAGGAAUACCGGAGGCGAAGGCGGCUUUCUGGUUCGCAACUGACGCUGAGGAACGAAAGCUAGGGGAUCAAACAGGAUUAGAUACCCUGGUAGUCC
rnacentral:rRNA from 1 species